CUCUCAAAGCAGCCUCGCUGGAGGGGGUGGAGCCACCAGGGGAAGGGGACAAACUUGUUGGUGAGGAGGCGGGGGGGUCGGUGGAGAGGGAGGGGCCUGUGGAGGAGCCGGGGGCGGAGCCGGGGGCGGAGCUGACGUCUGGCAUCACAGCGGCCUUCAACACAUUCAAAACCCAGCUGGAACAACACUUCGCUGGCUGCUGGCACAACGUUGAAAGUGAAAUUCUUCUCUCAAUAAAAGAGUGUCAA